AGUCACUGACAUUAGAUACCCCGGUAGUCCUAGCCGUAAACGAUACUCGCUAGGUGUCGGCCACGGUGCGACCGUUGUCGGUGCCGUAGGGAAGCCGUGAAGCGAGCCACCUGGGAAGUACGGCCGCAAGGCUGAAACUUAAAGGAAUUGGCGGGGAGCACCACAACGGGUGGAGCUUGCGGUUUAAUUGGAUUCAACGCCGGAAAUCUUACCGGGACCGACAGCAACAUGAAGGCCAGGCUGAAGACUUUGCCGGAUUAGCUG
rnacentral:rRNA from 1 species